rnacentral:rRNA from 1 species
UGGGGAAUAUUGCACAAUGGGCGCAAGCCUGAUGCAGCCAUGCCGCGUGUGUGAAGAAGGCCUUCGGGUUGUAAAGCACUUUCAGCGGGGAGGAAGGCGAUAAGGUUAAUAACCUUGUCGAUUGACGUUACCCGCAGAAGAAGCACCGGCUAACUCCGUGCCAGCAGCCUCGGUAAUACGGAGGGUGCAAGCGUUAAUCGGAAUUACUGGGCGUAAAGCGCACGCAGGCGGUCUGUCAAGUCGGAUGUGAAAUCCCCGGGCUCAACCUGGGAACUGCAUUUGAAACUGGCAGGCUAGAGUCUUGUAGAGGGGGGUAGAAUUCCAGGUGUAGCGGUGAAAUGCGUAGAGAUCUGGAGGAAUACCGGUGGCGAAGGCGGCCCCCUGGACAAAGACUGACGCUCAGGUGCGAAAGCGUGGGGAGCAAACAGG